ACUCCUACGGGAGGCAGCAGUGAGGAAUAUUGGUCAAUGAGGCAACUCUGAACCAGCCACGCCGCGUGCAGGAAGACUGCCCUAUGGGUUGUAAACUGCUUUUAUUACAGGAAGAAACAAGUCGUACGAGUACGACCUUGACGGUACUGUAGGAAUAAGCACCGGCUAACUCCGUGCCAGCAGCCGCGGUAAUACGGAGGGGUGCAAGCGUUAUCCGGAAUCAUUGGGUUUAAAGGGUCCGCAGGCGGUCAAUUAAGUCAGAGGUGAAAUCCCAUAGCUUAACUAUGGAACUGCCUUUGAUACUGGUUGACUUGAGUUAUACGGAAGUAGAUAGAAUAAGUAGUGUAGCGGUGAAAUGCAUAGAUAUUACUUAGAAUACCGAUUGCGAAGGCAGUCUACUACGUAUAUACUGACGCUCAUGGACGAAAGCGUGGGGAG
rnacentral:rRNA from 1 species